rnacentral:lncRNA from 1 species
GAUGUUGAUCUGGUCAUUCACAAUUGAUGAACAAUAGGUCUACAUCUAGAUGCUGAGGAGGAUGUGGAUGUUGUUCCUAUAAGAACCAGGCUAGCUGGGCCUAACCUGGACCAAAGUCGGCAGGCCCAGCCGGCUUUAGAGAGAAGAAGAAAAGGAGAAGAACAGGGCACAAUCCCUGUCCGAGCUUCCGAACGACCGAGGCUGGCCUG